rnacentral:tRNA from 1 species
GCCGCGGUGGCGGAACUGGUAGACGCGCAGGUCUCAAACACCUGUAUGGGUUUCCAUAUGAGGGUUCGAUUCCCUCCCGCGGCACCA